rnacentral:lncRNA from 1 species
AUGCUUUGUAGACUGGUUACUGAAUAUUUAUAUGUAGGUCAAAAUACGUUGGCUACAAUACUUACUACAGGGUUCUUUGAAACAGAGAGAUGGGGAAGUCAUGAAUUUUUCUUUUACUUGCUUGCAGUAGACUGCAAGGACCCCAGGAAAAUGAUUAUAUAUUCACAUCAUAACAUCUUAGAAGUGCAUGGAAAAUAUUGUGCUGAAGAUACACCAGCUUACUACAAGGGUCUUACGUCAUGUCUUCAACAGAGUUCCCACAAACAAGAUUUCAAAUGCUUUAGAACUACUGACUGCAGCACAGCCCAAACAGCAGGCAUUUCUUCUGCAUGUUGCUCUUACGCAAGGCUUAGAUUAAAGGCACAAAGAGAAGAGAGCAGCUCACACAGGAAGAUGACCUUGUGUCUGCUGCCUUAACUCUCCCCCAAGAUCCUACAUGCACAGAGCCACUUCUGAGUCUACUUUUGCACUGCAAUGCUUCCUAGGCUUGGCUUUGGUUUAGAGGUAAACCUCCUGGUCUCUAGUCUAUUAAAGAGAAGUAAAGACAGGCAGAGGAAUUAAUAGCGUGACCGUUGGGGAAGAGUGAUCAGGAUGGCAAUGACAGUGUAACACUGACCUCAUUCUUGAUGAGUCAAAACUGUAGAGUUGGAAAGACCCACUGGACAACUAACCUUGGUCAAACCAUUCUCUGCAAAUGUCUGUCCAACCUCUUCAGGCAAACCCUCUAGUGGGGAAGUUGUCACCCGUACACAAGUACUCUAUUAAUGUGAAGCUCUUCAGAGCUUGGCUGGGUUCAGUCCUUCUGGGACCCUCUUUGUGCUUGGUCCCAUACUGACAAAAAGCAUCUCUCAGGGUUUGCAGUAGGAACUAAUUAUACUUCAAAUAACUACGUAGUAAAGUGUGCUUGAAGCAUUGCAUACACUGUAGAAGUGUUAAUUCCUUCAGCAGUGGCUCUCAGGUUAACUGCUGUCUGCAUCUGUGUUUGACGGUUUAGUGUUAGCACUGGAAACAAUAAAAUCUCGUAUGUUUGUGUUCUCA